rnacentral:tRNA from 1 species
GGGGCUGUGGCUCAGUUGGAUAGAGCAAGUGCCUCCUAAGCACUAGGUCGGCGGUUCAAGUCCGCCCAGUCCCG